rnacentral:rRNA from 1 species
AGUGAACGCUGGCGGUAGGCCUAACACAUGCAAGUCGAACGGCAGCACAGUAAGAGCUUGCUCUUACGGGUGGCGAGUGGCGGACGGGUGAGGAAUACAUCGGAAUCUACUUUUUCGUGGGGGAUAACGUAGGGAAACUUACGCUAAUACCGCAUACGACCUACGGGUGAAAGCAGGGGAUCUUCGGACCUUGCGCGAUUGAAUGAGCCGAUGUCGGAUUAGCUAGUUGGCGGGGUAAAGGCCCACCAAGGCGACGAUCCGUAGCUGGUCUGAGAGGAUGAUGAGCCACACUGGAACUGAGACACGGUCCAGACUCCUACGGGAGGCAGCAGUGGGGAAUAUUGGACAAUGGGCGCAAGCCUGAUCCAGCCAUACCGCGUGGGUGAAGAAGGCCUUCGGGUUGUAAAGCCCUUUUGUUGGGAAAGAAAAGCAGCAGGUUAAUACCCCGCUGUUCUGACGGUACCCAAAGAAUAAGCACCGGCUAACUUCGU